rnacentral:rRNA from 1 species
UACGAAGGGGGCUAGCGUUGCUCGGAAUCACUGGGCGUAAAGGGUGCGUAGGCGGGUUUUUAAGUCAGAGGUGAAAUCCUGGAGCUCAACUCCAGAACUGCCUUUGAUACUGAGAAUCUUGAGUACGGGAGAGGUGAGUGGAACUGCGAGUGUAGAGGUGAAAUUCGUAGAUAUUCGCAAGAACACCAGUGGCGAAGGCGGCUCACUGGCCCGAUACUGACGCUGAGGUGCGAAAGCGUGGGGAGCAAACAGG